UACGGGGGGGGCAAGCGUUGUUCGGAAUUACUGGGCGUAAAGGGCUCGUAGGCGGCCAACUAAGUCAGACGUGAAAUCCCUCGGCUUAACCGGGGAACUGCGUCUGAUACUGGAUGGCUUGAGUGUGGGAGAGGGAUGCGGAAUUCCAGGUGUAGCGGUGAAAUGCGUAGAUAUCUGGAGGAACACCGGUGGCGAAGGCGGGUCUCUGGGCCGAUACUGACGCUGAGGAGCGAAAGCGUGGGGAGCGAACAGG
rnacentral:rRNA from 1 species